AUCAUCAUUUUGAGUCAAUAAUGGUGGGCACAUAACAUCAGCACAUUUACAAGCUGCACUUGCCUUGGUUUUCCAUCUUCUACUCUGCCCAGUAGUUUCAGGAGCUGAAUUACAUGCAGACAGUGACUUAGUGGAAGUCUUUUGUUUUUUGCCCUUGUUUUUCUGUAUGUUUUGUUCUUGGGUACACCCAGAAACCCCUUCUAUAGCAAG
rnacentral:misc_RNA from 1 species